GAUGAACGCUGGCGGCGUGCCUAAUACAUGCAAGUCGAGCGAAGCGGGGAGGGGGGAGUAACACGUGGAAAACCUCCUAUACGUAUCGGAUAACUUCGGGAAACAGGUGCUAAACGGGAUACUUAUAGCUGGAUCCGCGCUGCAUUCGCUAGUUGGUAAGGUAACGGCGUACCAAGGCAACAAUGCAUAGCCGACCUGUGAGGGUGAUCGGCCACACUGGAACUGAGACACGGUCCAGACUCCUACGGGAGGCAGCAGUAGGGAAUCUUCCGCAAUGGGCGAAAGCCUGACGGAGCAACGCCGCGUGAGUGAUGAAGGUCUUCGGAUCGUAAAACUCUGUUAUUAGGGAAGCGGUACCUAACCAGAAAGCCACGGCUAACUACGUGCCAGCAGCCGCGGUAAUUC
rnacentral:rRNA from 1 species